rnacentral:tRNA from 1 species
AGGGAUGAAGAUCAAUGAUAGAGUACUUGCCUAGCAUGCAUGAGGCCCUGGGUCCAAUUCCCAGCACCCCCA